rnacentral:rRNA from 1 species
AUUGAACGCUGGCGGCAUGCCUUACACAUGCAAGUCGAACGGCAGCGGGGGAGAAGCUUGCUUUUCCUGCCGGCGAGUGGCGAACGGGUGAGUAAUACAUCGGAACGUGCCCUGUAGUGGGGGAUAACUAGUCGAAAGAUUAGCUAAUACCGCAUACGACCUGAGGGUGAAAGUGGGGGACCGCAAGGCCUCAUGCUAUAGGAGCGGCCGAGGUCUGAUUAGCUAGUUGGUGGGGUAAAGGCCUACCAAGGCGACGAUCAGUAGCUGGUCUGAGAGGACGAUCAGCCACACUGGGACGGAGACACGGCCCAGACUCCUACGGGAGGCAGCAGUGGGGAAUUUUGGACAAUGGGCGAAAGCCUGAUCCAGCAAUGCCGCGUGUGUGAAGAAGGCCUUCGGGUUGUAAAGCACUUUUGUCCGGAAAGAAAUGGCUCUGGUUAAUACCUGGGGUCGAUGACGGUACCGGAAGAAUAAGGACCGGCUAACUACGUGCCAGCAGCCGCGGUAA